AAUCAACGCUGGCGGCGUGCCUAACACAUGCAAGUCGAACGCGAAAGUCCCGCAAGGGGCAAGUAGAGUGGCAAACGGGUGAGUAACACGUGGGUGACCUGCCUUCGAGUGGGGGAUAACGUCCCGAAAGGGACGCUAAUACCGCAUAACAUCCUGCCUUUGAAGAGGUGGAGAUCAAAGCUAGGGAUCGCAAGACCUAGCGCCGGAAGAGGGGCCCGCGCCUGAUUAGCUAGUUGGUGGGGUAAUGGCUCACCAAGGCAACGAUCAGUAUCCGGCCUGAGAGGGCGGACGGACACACUGGGACUGAGACACGGCCCAGACUCCUACGGGAGGCAGCAGUGGGGAAUUGUUCGCAAUGGGCGCAAGCCUGACGACGCAACGCCGCGUGGAGGACGAAGACCUUCGGGUCGUAAACUCCUUUCGAUCGAGACGAACGGCCUCCGGGUGAAUAAUCCGGAGGAGUGACGGUACCGAGAGAAGAAGCCCCGGCUAACUCCGUGC
rnacentral:rRNA from 1 species